GGCUCAGGACGAACGCUGGCGGCGUGCCUAACACAUGCAAGUCGAGCGAGGAGAUUCCUUCGGGAUGAUCCUAGCGGCGGACGGGUGAGUAACACGUGGGCAACCUGCCUCAUAGAGAGGAAUAGCCUUCCGAAAGGGAGAUUAAUACCUCAUAACAUUGCAGUUUCGCAUGGAACAGCAAUUAAAGGAGUAAUCCGCUAUGAGAUGGGCCCGCGGCGCAUUAGCUAGUUGGUGAGGUAACGGCUCACCAAGGCGACGAUGCGUAGCCGACUUGAGAGGGUGAUCGGCCACAUUGGGACUGAGACACGGCCCAGACUCCUACGGGAGGCAGCAGUGGGGAAUAUUGCACAAUGGGGGAAACCCUGAUGCCAGCAACGCCGCGUGAGUGAUGACGGCCUUCGGGUUGUAAAGCUCUGUCUUCAGGGACGAUAAUGACGGUACCUGAGGAGGAAGCCACGGCUAACUACGUGCCAGCCGCGGC
rnacentral:rRNA from 1 species